ACAUGCCUACAACAUAGUGUUAAAGCACCAGAACCCAUUAGAACUCCACAGUUAAGUGCGCUCAAUCUAGAGUAGUACUGGGAUGGGUGAUCGACCAAGAAGUCCUAGUGUUUUACAUGCA
rnacentral:rRNA from 1 species